rnacentral:pre_miRNA from 1 species
ACAACAACAUUCGGACCGUCGGUCUACCGAGCAAUAUCACCCGCUCGGUGGAAGAUCUUCCUUUCGUCGUAUAUU